AUUGAACGCUGGCGGCAUGCCUUACACAUGCAAGUCGAACGGCAGCACGGGAGCAAUCCUGGUGGCGAGUGGCGAACGGGUGAGUAAAGUAUCGGAACGUGCCCAGUCGUGGGGGAUAACGUAGCGAAAGUUACGCUAAUACCGCAUACGAUCUAUGGAUGAAAGCGGGGGAUCGCAAGACCUCGCGCGAUUGUAGCGGCCGAUAUCAGAUUAGGUAGUUGGUGGGGUAAAGGCUCACCAAGCCGACCAUCUGUAGCUGGUCUGAGAGGACGACCAGCCACACUGGUACUGAGACACGGCCCAGACUCCUACGGGAGGCAGCAGUGGGGAAUUUUGGACAAUGGGCGAAAGCCUGAUCCAGCCAUGCCGCGUGCAGGAUGAAGGCAUUCGGGUUGUAAACUGCUUUUGUACGGAACGAAAAGGUUUGGCCUAAUAAGCUGAGCUCAUGACGUUACCGUAAGAAUAAGCACCGGCUAACUACGUGCCAGCCGCCGCCGUAA
rnacentral:rRNA from 1 species